GAUGAACGCUGGCGGCGUGCCUAAUACAUGCAAGUCGAGCGAACAGACGCGGAGCUUGCUCCUCUGACGUUAGCGGCGGACGGGUUAGUAACACGUGUAUAACCUACCUAUAUGACUGGGAUAACUUCGGGAAACCGGAGCUAAUACCGGAUAAUAUAUUGCACCGCAUGGUUCAAUAGUGAAAGACGGUUUUGCUGUCACUUAUAGAUGGAUCCGCGCCGCAUUAGCUAGUUGGUAAGGUAACGGCUUACCAAGGCAACGAUGCGUAGCCGACCUGAGAGGGUGAUCGGCCACACUGGAACUGAGACGCGGUCCAGGCUCCUAAGGGAGGCAGCAGUAGGGAAUCUUCCGCAAUGGGCGAAAGCCUGACGGAGCAACGCCGCGUGAGUGAUGAAGGUCUUCGGAUCGUAAAACUCUGUUAUUAGGGAAGAACAAAUGUGUAAGUAACUAUGCACGUCUUGACGGUACCUAAUCAGAAAGCCACGGCUAACUACGUG
rnacentral:rRNA from 1 species